GGAGACCGAAGAGAUAUGGCCGCCAGUUCGCGCACGCGCAAGAGCCCACCUUUGCUUCCGGUUUCUAGGCCGCGCACAGCGGCCUCUCAAACUGUUACAGAGUCAAAGAAAUCAAGCAUUGUUGUCUUGGUCAGUAAUGAUUAUCAAGAAUGCUGGCCUCCAGAAAAAACACAGCGCUGUGGAUACCCUGGAUGUAUCCCAGUGAGAC